rnacentral:rRNA from 1 species
UACGGGGGGAGCAAGCGUUGUUCGGAUUUACUGGGCGUAAAGGGCGCGUAGGCGGCCAGCACAAGUCAGUUGUGAAAUCUCCGGGCUUAACUCGGAAAGGUCAACUGAUACUGUGCGGCUAGAGUGCGGAAGGGGCAACUGGAAUUCUCGGUGUAGCGGUGAAAUGCGUAGAUAUUGGGAAGAACACCGGUGGCGAAAGCGCUCUGCUGGGCCUGCACUGACACUGAGGGACGAAAGCUAGGGGAGCGAAAGGG